ACCCUGUAGCGCAAUGGAUAACGUGUUGGACUUGUAAUCCAAAGGUCGUGGGUCCGAAUACCACUUGGAAUU
rnacentral:tRNA from 1 species